rnacentral:rRNA from 1 species
UACGGAGGGUGCAAGCGUUGUCCGGAAUCACUGGGCGUAAAGGGCGCGUAGGAGGCUCAUGAAGGCUGUGGUGAAAGUCCGGGGCUCAACCUCGGAUCGGCCGUGGCGACUCGUGGGCUGGAGCACUGUAGAGGCGGGUGGAAUUCCGGGUGUAGCGGUGGAAUGCGUAGAGAUCCGGAAGAACACCAGUGGCGAAGGCGGCCCGCUGGGCAGUAGCUGACACUGAGGCGCGACAGCGUGGGGAGCAAACAGG